UUCGGCUCACGCACGCCAAACAACACACGCACCCAAACAGGCAAACAUGGAGCCUGAAUGCCAAUCACUGGGCUUACAUCAGCAUCCGAACCAAAACACACGUACACUGGAACCCAGAUGCCACUUGAUGGACUUACACCGGCUUCCAAGCACACAACAAGCACAAUCAAACAUAAUCAGGAUACGGACAGCCAAUCGCUGGGCUUACAUCCAUAUCCUGACACACAAGCUUUAACAAGCAAACACACACAAAAAGGAAAAAAA
rnacentral:lncRNA from 1 species